rnacentral:rRNA from 1 species
AGAGUACGUGAAACCGUCUAGAGGUAAUCGGGUGGACCCGUCCAGUCGGCCCUCGGAAUUCAGCUCUCGGGCAAGUCUGCCGGCGUAGUUUUGAGAUUUCAGGACUCGCUCGGCGCCGGACCGGACGCUCGGGAGUGCACUUUCCGUGUUGGCAGAGCGUCGCGACCGGUUUUGCGGCGGUGAUAAGGCCCGGGGGAAGGUAGGUACUCGGUCUUCGGGCCUUGGACUGUUAUAGCCCUCGGGAGAUAGCCGCUGCGGGACCGUGGAACGACCAGCCGUGUGGCAGUGAGGCUCUCCGCGUGCGUCUCAACUCUGGAGGACUGGUAUCUGCCGUGCUCUGGGACAGCGUUACGCGGACGGGCUCUGCUAUAGCCUGCGGCGUUGUAAGGGUCAGCGACACACGAUCGGUAAUCCACCCGGCCCGUCUUGAAACACGGACCAAGAAGUCCAACAUGUGCGCGAGUCAUUGGGUGUUACGAAACCUAAAGGCGUAAUGAAGGUGAAGGCGAGUUCGGCUCGCUGAGGUGAGAUCCCAGGCCGCCGUGUCGGGGCGCAUCACCGGCCCGUCUGCAAAGGCGGAGCUAGAGCGCACACGUUGGGACCCGAAAGAUGGUGAACUAUGCCUGAGCAGGACGAAGCCAGAGGAAACUCUGGUGGAAGUCCGCAGCGAUUCUGACGUGCAAAUCGAUCGUCAAAC